UGCAAAAAUUCCAGUGUCCGCAAAUAAAUGACUGAGCGCACCAAAUGAAUUAGCUAUUCUGUCAAUAGGAUGAAAGCAAAGUAUGAGAGAUCACAAAUGGAAUAUAUUAUCAAGGAUCCGCCGAAUCGAUGCCGUAUUUAACAAACUAACUAAAAGUUUCUGACGUGUGGACUCCAUUCUCGAGUCAUACAUCACAAUCGCCGACAAAGCUUCUCCGAACCAGCACCCGCGUCGGAAUGAGCCAAGCCCUCAUCAACCCAAGUUCCUUUCAUCUGCAUUUUUCACAUCUUGCCCUUGAAGCCAUAGUAAGAACUGGCUAUUCUGUUCCUUAUACAUGAGAUAAUGCUGAGAUAUCUGUUCAUGAUACACAUCUUUUUUUUUUUCAGUUAUGAAAGCUAGUCUGGUGUUUGAAGUGGCUUUUAAGAGGGUUUCCACUAAAGGCCAGCGCCGUGUUAGCUCCAUAAAGUGCAAGAGGAUAAAACAAUCUUGUGUUAUAAAGGAAAUAACAAGAGUAGAUUAAAGGGCACAAAAUUAUUGGUUGACAACAGAUGAUCUCUGAAAGCUUCCAGGACACUAGGGCCCCAUUCAUCUAGUGGAUUACAAACAUGGUGCUCUUCCACCCUUGAGUUGCACCGUUUGAUAGUACAUCUGGAGCAAGGCACCUGGAGCAGGACGCUCUUGUGUGAUGGAGCCCUCCUUUUAACACCUAAUAAAUACAAGGUCCACCUUGUAACUUGCAUCCACAAGUGCUUCAGAACCAAUGAGGAUGCGACUGGACGGAUCCUGCCGGCCUAAAAGGUCUAAAAUCGUCUAAACAACAAGCUUACUCAACGAAUCCCAAUCAUGGUUAGUUAUGUAAAUGGAUAAAUAACUAUAAACAUAGCAAUUUAAUUCAAUGUAAUGUCAGCGAUAUGGACACAAUCUAAAAAAAUCUAAAAUGAAACCAGACUUUCCCCCAUAUGUAAUAAAAGGUACCAAUAUUGCCCAGGAGUAACCCAUACUAAUCAACAAUAAGAUGUUUGCUUUUAAACAGGUGAGCUACAUGCUGAUUGGUUGGUAUGGGUUACUGCUCCUGGACAAACUUAGUGCCUUUUAUUAAAUAAUCCCCCCUUUGAGUCGUAUCUAUUAACAACAAAUUUUUUAUUUGCUGUGUCUAUGUAUUUUCAUGGCAACAUUGCAUAAUGAAUUAUCAUUGUAACUACAUCAUUGCGAGCAUAAUGGGCUAACAUUUUUUGGUAGUGUAAUUACAGCAACAUAUUUCCCCCAUACCAUGGGAACUGGAAAC